rnacentral:lncRNA from 1 species
UCUCCAAUCACUAUAACAAAAACGGUUUAUAGCGACACUUUUAAAUGUAAGUACAUGUCAAAAAAGUGCUGCUAACUAAAAUUACCGACACUUUUAAAAAGUGUUGCUAUAUGUGGGGUCGCUAGGUAUAUAGUGACAGUUAAAAAGUGUCGCUAUAACCUAAAAGAGUGCUGCUAAUUUACCAACACUUAUUUAAGUAUUUAGCAACCGCCGAAACUCUAUCUCGUUGGCUACGGUGGCGGAGGAGGACGACAGGAAAGGCUCUUCGUCUAGAAUUUCAGUGGAUUGAGUGAAAAGAGAAGAAAAGAUGGUAAUUAAUUUUUUUUUUUUCUUUUCUGUUUGUAAUCGAGCCAAAUGGACUGGGUGUGGUGGGUUGAGUAGAAUAAUCUUUUAUUUUUGGUCGGAUUUGGCUUUAUAUUUAGGCAUUAGUAGAUGUUUUUUUAAAUUUUAGGAUAAAUAGGACACUUAUCCCAAACAUGUGUCCCUAUAACCUAAUUCUGUUGUAGUGAAUGGAGCUCCAACUACUGACGUUAUUUUAAAAGCUAAGUCGAGCAGACACUUAAAAGAUACAGAAGAAAA